UACAGAGGUGGCAAGCGUUGUUCGGAAUUACUGGGCGUAAAGCGCGUGUAGGCGGCUCUUCAAGUCAGGCGUGAAAGCCCCGGGCUCAACUCGGGAACUGCGCUUGAUACUGUCGAGCUAAAGUGUGGAAGGGGCGAUUGGAAUUCCGUGUGUAGCGGUGAAAUGCGUAGAUAUACGGAGGAACACCAGAGGCGAAGGCGGAUCGCUGGGCCAACACUGACGCUGAGACGCGAAAGCUAGGGUAGCAAACGGG
rnacentral:rRNA from 1 species